CACACAUUCUUUUCUAGUGUACAUGGAACAUUCUCCAGGAUAGAUCACAUCCUGGGUCACAAAUUAGGUCUCAAUUGGUACAAAAAGACUGGGAUUAGUCCCUGCAUAUUUUCAGACCCCAAGGCCUUAAAAUGAACU